rnacentral:rRNA from 1 species
GACGAACGCUGGCGGCGUGCUUAACACAUGCAAGUCGAACGGAAAGGCCCUGCUUUUGUGGGGUGCUCGAGUGGCGAACGGGUGAGUAACACGUGAGUAACCUGCCCUUGACUUUGGGAUAACUUCAGGAAACUGGGGCUAAUACCGGAUAGGAGCUCCUGCUGCAUGGUGGGGGUUGGAAAGUUUCGGCGGUUGGGGAUGGACUCGCGGCUUAUCAUCUUGUUGGUGGGGUAGUGGCUUACCAAGGCUUUGACGGGUAGCCGGCCCGAGAGGGUGACCGGCCACAUUGGGACUGAGAUACGGCCCAGACUCCUACGGGAGGCAGCAGUGGGGAAUAUUGCACAAUGGGCGGAAGCCUGAUGCAGCAACGCCGCGUGCGGGAUGACGGCCUUCGGGUUGUAAACCGCUUUCGCCUGUGACGAAGCGUGGGUGACGGUAAUGGGUAAAGAAGCACCGGCUAACUACGUG